GUUGAACGCUGGCGGCGUGCCUAAUACAUGCAAGUCGAACGAAAAGACGCGGCGCUUGCCUCUCUGACGUUAACGGCGGAAGGAAUGCUACCAAGUGGGUCCCCUCCCUAUGAGUAUCGAAUCGCUACGGGAACCCGUAGCUCAUACCGGCUAAUAUAUUAAACCGCAUGGUUCAAUAGUUAGAGACGGUUGUGCUGUCAAUUUUAGAUGGAUCAGCGCCGCAUUAGAUAGUUGGUAAGGUAACGGCUUACCAAGGCAACGAUGCGUAGCCGACCUGAGAGGGCGACCGGCCACACUGGAACUGAGACACGGCCCAGACUCCUACGGGAGGCAGCAGUAGGGAAUCUUCGGCAAUGGGCGAAAGCCUGACCCAGCAACGCCGCGUGAAGGAUGAAGGUCUUCGGAUCGUAAACUGCUGUUGUUAGGGAAGAACCGGUUUUGAUUAAUCUCCGCAGGUAAUGACGGUACCGAAUCAGAAAGCCACGGCUAACUACGUG
rnacentral:rRNA from 1 species